rnacentral:rRNA from 1 species
GACGAACGCUGGCGGCGCGCUUAACACAUGCAAGUCGAGCGAAGCGGCGGACGGGUGAGUAACACGUGAGUAACCUGCCUUAGACAUUGGGAUAGCCUCGGGAAACCGGGAUAAAUACCAAAUGGUCUAAGAUGGACUCGCGUCCCAUUAGCUAGUUGGUGGGUAACGGCCCAACAAGGCGACGAUGGGUAGCCGGCCUUGGAGGUUGACCGGCCACAUUGGAACUGAGACACGGUCCAAACUCUACGGGAGGCAGCAGUGGGGAAUAUUGCACAAUGGAUGGAACUCUGAUGCAGCGACGCCUCGUGAACGAAGAAGGCUUUCGAGUCGUAAAGUUCUUUUAUAUGGGAAGCGGUACCAUAAGAAAAAGCCCCGGCUAACUACGUGCCAGCCGCCGCGGUAAUUC